rnacentral:rRNA from 1 species
CCUACGGGUGGCAGCAGUCGAGAAUCAUUCACAAUGGGGGAAACCCUGAUGGUGCGACGCCGCGUGGGGGAAUGAAGGUCUUCGGAUUGUAAACCCCUGUCAUGUGGGAGCAAAUUAAAAAGAUAGUACCACAAGAGGAAGAGACGGCUAACUCUGUGCCAGCAGCCGCGGUAAUACAGAGGUCUCAAGCGUUGUUCGGAAUCACUGGGCGUAAAGGGUGCGUAGGCUGUUGCGUAAGUCGUGUGUGAAAGGCGCGGGCUCAACCCGCGGACGGCACAUGAUACUGCGAGACCAGAGUAAUGGAGGGGGAGCCGGAAUUCUCGGUGUAGCAGUGAAAUGCGUAGAUAUCGAGAGGAACACUGGUGGCGAAGGCGGGUUCCUGGACAUUAACUGACGCUGAGGCACGAAGGCCAGGGGAGCGAAAGGGAUUAGAUACCCUAGUAGUC